GAUGAACGCUGGCGGCGUGCCUAAUACAUGCAAGUCGAGCGAAGCGGGGACGGGUGAUUAACACGUGGCUAACCUCCUAUAAGACUGGGAUAACUUCGGGAAACCGGAGCUAAACCGGAUACUUAUAGAUGUAUCUGCGCUGCAUUAGCUAGUUGGUAAGGUAACGGCUUACCAAGGCAACGAUGCAUAGCCGACCUGAGAGGGGGAUCGGCCACACGGGAAAUGAGACACGGUCCGGACGCAGCGGGAAGGGAGCAGAAGGGAAAGAGCGGCAAUGGGCGAAAGAAUGAGGGAGAAAAGCCGCGUGAGGGAGAGAGGCAGUCGGAUCGAAAAACGCUGUAAUGAGGGAAGCGGGACCUAAUCAGAAAGCAAAGGCGAACUACGGGCCAGCAGCCGCGGUAAUAC
rnacentral:rRNA from 1 species